rnacentral:rRNA from 1 species
UACGUAGGGGGCAAGCGUUGUCCGGAAUUAUUGGGCGUAAAGAGCGCGUAGGCGGUCCGAUAAGUCGGCUGUGAAAGUCAAGGGCUCAACCCUUGAAAGCCGGCCGAUACUGUCGGACUAGAGUCCGGAAGAGGCGAGUGGAAUUCCCGGUGUAGCGGUGAAAUGCGCAGAUAUCAGGAGGAACACCGAUGGCGAAGGCAGCUCGCUGGGACGGUACUGACGCUGAGGCGCGAAAGCGUGGGGAGCGAACAGG